rnacentral:lncRNA from 1 species
GAAUCGAAUGACAAGCAUGAUAAGUUGACAUUAUAAAUGGUAUAGUUGCAAACACGAGCACUUGCGAGAUUAGACACGGAUAUAAGAAGCCAACGACGGCAUCACACGAUUACAGGCGAACACACCAAUCAGCACAAACAUCACCAAAUCCUUUAUUCUAGUCACUCAGUGCAGAUGCAGCCUACUGCUAGCAGGGCACUGAACAUCACCAUCCCGUCGUAUGGAUUCUGGUAAGGGAACAGUAUCCCUUCAUUCGAUCCUGCCGACACAAACAGGGCAAAUAAUGUUAGUUUUGUCUGUAAUAAUUGCUUGGGUUUCACUGCCACAAACGCCUGAAACUAAAGGGAGAGAUCACGGUCAAGUUUGCAGCUGUGUAUGUACUCACUUGUCGCAGUCGAUGUCGGGGGUGAUGUUGUAGGACAGCGAGAGGCCGCAGUCGCCGGGCAGCUCCUGCGCCGCGGAGAGCACAGCGUGGACCUGAACGUAGGCCGCCUUGAGGCACCGGCACGUGGCCUGCC